rnacentral:lncRNA from 1 species
CAGGCGGGCGGGACUUCCCCCGUCUAUACAUAAUGCAUGACCUGGGCGCUUUGCAAUGAAGCCCUGCUAAUUGGCUAAUUAAAAAGUGAAACGCGCGGAAGGAGCCACCGCGGUAUCCACAGGAGACCCUCACUGCCGCACCCUGGGGCUGUGUGUGCCAGUGCCUUCAGCUCAAUGGAGCCGGGGGCACGCAGCCCUGGGGCAGCCCGGAACGAGAGGCUGAUGCUGGAAGCAGCCUUCUUGCCUUCUUGCCUUCUUUUGAAUCUUUUUUUUUUGCGCCUGAAGAUUUUGUGACCCAGGAUGAUGUAGUGGGACCCCAGACGUUUCCCAGUGUAACGCUCUCCCUUUUCUCUCCCAGCCACAAAGGGACGCAGGCUGUAACGGUGUGUUCUGCCCUCAGAUCGUGGACACCUUCCUGGUGGGCCGCCUGGUGCUGCUGGCCUUCAUGGCCCUGCUGCUGCUGGGCUGCGUGCUGCUGCUGGGGCUGCACCUCCUGGAGCCGAUACACGCCAAGGCGCUGCGCUGCUGGAGCAGCACUGAGGGAAAGUCCUCGAGAAGUGGAUCCCCUUUUCGUGGCAGUAAACCGGGUGACCGAGUUGGGGCGUUGAUUUUUACUGAAUCAAUUUUCACAAAUUGUUGGGUUUUUUAAUUCUUUUUUAACAUUAAUAAAACUUUUGGAGGAAGCCCUGGCCCAGUCUUUAUCUGUUUUCCACGAAUAGGAGUUUUGCAGCAUUUUGAUGUUAGUGAAAGCUGCCCUUUCUAUGCUUUUUGGGAGUUUUGUCCUUUCUAGGUGUGGGGGGGUUGGGAUGCUCACUGUGCUCUGCUCCCAGUUAUGCAACACCAGCAUUGGCUCUCUGGGAGAUUCUGAAGUUGAGCCUGAAACAGAAUUUGUAUUUGAUUCUUCAUCUUAAUAACAGACUGCAGUGAGCAGUUCCCAAAGCCUCACUGCUGGCAUCCCGUCUCACAAAUAGGGAAGCUGUGGCAAAGCAGCUGAAGCGCUAAAAAAAAGCCCUAAAAGCAGAAGCGUGAGGCUUCUCCCUGGAAAUACACCCCAAAUGUUUGCUUUAUGCUCCCGUUAGUCAC